rnacentral:misc_RNA from 1 species
UUUCCGUAGGUGAACCUGCGGAAGGAUCAUUAUUGGAUUUUGAAACUUCAGGCUGCUGCUGGCUCCCCUCGGAGGGCAUGUGCACGCUUGUGGUCCAUUAUUUCUCCCACUCUCCACAAAUUGUAGACCUUUCAGUAGGCCUAUGUUGUUUUUCACAAUCUCCGAAUGUAAUAGAAUGGUUUUGAAUCUGGGGAAAUACAAUACAACUUUCAGCAACGGAUCUCUUGGCUCUC